rnacentral:rRNA from 1 species
GAUGAACGCUGACGGCGUGCCUAAUACAUGCAAGUCGAGCGAACGGACGAGAAGCUUUCUUCUCUGAUGUUAGCGGCGGACGGGUGAGUAACACGUGGAUAACCUACCUAUAAGACUGGGAUAACUUCGGGAAACCGGAGCUCAUACCGGAUAAUAUUUUGAACCGCAUGGUUCAAAAGUUAAAGACGGUCUUGCGGUCACUUAUAGAUGGAUCCGCGCUGCAUUAGCUAGUUGGUAAGGUAACGGCUUACCAAGGCGACGAUGCAUAGCCGACCUGAGAGGGUGACCGGCCACACUGGGACUGAGACACGGUCCAGACUCCUACGGGAGGCAGCAGUAGGGAAUCUUCGACAAUGGGCGAAAGCCUGACGGAGCAACGCCGCGUGAGUGAUGAAGGCCUUCGGAUCGUAAAAUGCUUUUAUUAGGGAAGAAAAUAUGUGUAAGAAUAUGUGCACAUCUUGACGGUACCUAAUGAGAAAGCACCGGCUAACUACGUG